ensembl:lncRNA
AUGCCCCAAACAAUCAUCUUUGCUUUUGUUGUGACUGAUUGUUAUGCCUGGGAAAACGAGCUGCACGAGCCCCGUUGCCCUGUGCAGUGCCUGUUCAGUGGGGGAUGUGGGGUUUUAUUUAUCUGCUGUCCUUAUGAGAAGAGAUUUGUCCCUGCUCUGCAUAAAUGUGCUUCUGCUUGUUCCUUGGAUUCCAGGUGUUUGAAGAUGCUUGUAAAUCAUCCCAGCAGAAAGGCUGAGCAUCACAGUCUUCAGAGCAUUCUCAUGGCCAGAAUAUUCCCCUGCAGCUCUGGGGAAGAGGGAGCUUGGGAAGGAAUCCUAACGCAGAGACAAGAAGUGAAGAGCUACAGUCCAGCCUCAGCUGAGGGUGCAGAGAGCCCUGAGCGUGAGACUUGCUGCAGAUCUGGAGGCAGAUGGAUGUGUUCCAUCUCCACCCAGCUGGGGCUGCCUCAGGAUGGAGCCAGCCCUGCUCUUGGCAUGGGGAAACACAGAGGGGAUUUCAUUAGCAUUAAUGGACUGGCCAAGGAAGAGCUCUGCAUGCUGACAAGAUAAUGCACAGCUUUAAUAUAGCAAAUUCCUGCUGCUGCUGGGGGCUGCCCAGCUACAACAUUCAGUUUCACUGGUUAAAAUGAGCCCUGAGGAAGGUGUGGGUGAGAUGCUGUUCCCUGUUUCCAUCAAAGCACCCACUUCUCUGACAAGGACCAGACUUCCCACCUCCCUUUUUCAAAUGAUUGCUCAGACUCCUGAUGCUGAGCAGAAAACAUUUAAGCUGUUUUUUCAAAAUGAACAUUUAUAGGUGGUGUCUUUCCCCUUCCCCAGAGCAGAGUGUUAAUGACAUUGGAGGACUCAAGAACCUGUCUGGAAGGGAUUCUGGAUGGAGAAGAGGUGCAAACCCAGAGCAGCCAGAUGUUCUUCUAAAAUGGAAGAGUUAAAAAACCAAGCUCCAAAGGACAAAGAAAGGGAAAAAAGGAGAAAUUUAGAUUGUGGAAAAUGAGAAGCUGCUUAUCAGGGGAAAUAUGGAUGUGUGAUGCCAGGGUGGGGCAAUUUUCUCUCCAGUUCCUGUGCUUCCUCUGAGGUGGUUUGACUUUAGAAAUACAUAAAAGAAAGGUGACUUCUUGUUUGUUUCCUGUAUUGGAAAAGAUGGAAUGGGAAGAGGGGGCAGAUUUUGCACCACUAAUGUUGCAGGAGUAGAGGCAUUCCCUUACUGUUUGUUGAUAUUGAAAACAGCCUGAAAUGGCUUUUUGCCUUUUUCCUGGGAAAAAUAACAGGAAUAUCAAAGGAUUAUAUAAGUUAGGAAAGAAGCAAGCAGCCUCAACGUGAAUUUUGUGUUUGCUGUGGUGUGAAGAGAAACACUGUGUUGGAGGUGGCAGUGAAGAUGAUUUCUGGGGAUGCAGGUAAGAUAUCCCAAUGCUUCCAUGCUCUCCAGGGAUGGCAGUCUGCAGGUCACAAUCCUGCUCUGGGGCCAGGGGAAUGGAUAGAGGGAAAAACCCCAAUCUCUAACAGGUCAGAUCCUGAGAACUGAGUGGUAAUUCCUGCCAAGUCACUGGUAGGGAUCUCCCUGGGAAUAAAUGCUUGGAAAUUGCUGUUCGGUGCUUUCCU